rnacentral:lncRNA from 1 species
UAAUCAGAGAAGUUUUUAAUUUACAAGGAGGGGAAACAGGGAAACAGAGGAAGGGAGAGAGACAGGCAUCUGCGGAGACUUCCCUGGAGAGCAGAGGCCAGAGGCAGAAGAGGGAGGGGGUGGAGUGGUUGCGGAGGACUUGCCCAGGAAACCCCUGUGAGAAGGAAGAGUUUUCUCAGCUGAGCAUUGAGCCAGCUGGUGUGUCAGGGGCAGCUUAGUUCACCAUGCUGGGUCCUCUCCUGAGCACAGGAAGACUGCACUGUCCCACCUUCUCUGGAGUCCGCUGGGGCCUCCUGUGUGACCUGUGUCCAGGCCUGGCCCUAAAACAUCCCACCAGCCUCUCAGCCCUCUCUUCCCUCUGCAGCAGGAGCAAAGGCCACGUCGGGGACAUGAUACAUCACAACAUGCAGGCAGCAUGGCCCUGAGUCACCACGUGGAGACAAGCCUCAAGAGGACUCCACUUCCCAGUGGACGUUGCACGAGCAAGCAGGAAACCUCUUCUGUGAGCCCCUGAGGUUCAGGGUUUUUUGUUUUUUUUUAGUACCAUGGCUACUGUGACGUAUCCUGACUAAUGCCGACAGCACAGGGAGCCUUUGCCUGCCGGAGGAAGCGGUGAGGAAGAGGUGGUGCGUCGUGCACUUCCUGUUGCUGUUUUAGGACAGCUUGGACGUAGUUUGUUCCAGGGAAGUGCUGCUGAACCAGGUAAACCCAGCCCCCCAUCUCCAGGAGCAGAGGCUGCAAGGACAGGAAGACAAUGAGGCAAUGGUGUGCUGGGGGAAUCGUGCUAAAGUGAAAGCAUCCUUCGAUCAUUUUUAAGUCAUUCUAGGAUCUUCAGGGCAUCAAAGUUUUGCCUGUGAGCCUCAAUUGGUCUAAUACAAAAAUACAGACUGUGGUUAAUCAUCUGAGCUUUGAGAUCAUGUGAGAUUGUAAUCCUGCCUUGGUUCUGCCACUUACUGCUGGUGAAGGAAAAAUUAAUCUUUCCAAACAGCUUGCAAGACAGAAAUCAUGCUUUCUACCUCCCAAAGCUGCUGUGGGCAUGAAACAGCCCACGUGCAUGAGGUGCCCAGCAUAGCGCCUGGAAAUCACACACAAUCACAGAAUCAUGGGGCCAGAGGAGGCCCUUGAAGUUUUAUCUGAUUUACUCCUCCCAUGAGAUGCUUUAAUUCUCCAACUUCUCCUCAAUGGCACCUAUAAAGAAAUGGGUUCUCCCUCUGUUGUUCUCUCUCUCGCUCUCAAGCUCUUUUAGUACUUAGAGUUACGCCACUUCAUUUGAAGUUUAACAUGGUAAAUCUUAGAGACCAUCCAAGUCCAACACAUUUAUUUUAUUUUUUUUUCUGAGACUGAGUUUUGCUCUUGU